AAAGACUGAAGGUAAGGAGAGUGC
rnacentral:siRNA from 1 species